ensembl:lncRNA
AAUUUUCAAAGUGUUAAAUAUUUCACAUGCUAGGAAUGUAGAGAGUGAUAGAAUCCACGUAACCAUCAUUUCAAGUUAACAAUCUCUGGUGACAUUUGCAGCAUAUAGAUUUUUCAGAAACAAAGCAUGCCCGCCAGUGUGGGCCCCCAGCCUCUCUUCAAGCACACAGUGGGCCUGCAGCCUAGGGGAGAGGCCCCAUAGCGACGCUGCCACCCCCACCUGUAAACAGCAGCAGUUUCAACGAGCACAGCAGGGAGAGCGCGCCCGGUCUCCGCACACCCUGGGCCUUGUUUGGGGUCACACCGUGGCAUCUGUCACACGGUAAGGUGUCCCCGUCAAGAACGAACGUGGGCCUCUGUCCUCUGUGAGGAGACUCCACCGGCCUCCUUGGCCCAUCUCUCCGGCGGCUGGCUUCACCUGCUGACCUUGGGCGCUGUUCCUGGUUCUGUAGGGCAGUCUUUGCCAUUUACGGUCACUGCAAACCUUUCUCCCCAGUAUUAACAACAACGACAACAAAAAAAGGCUUUCCUUACCCGCGGCUCUCCCACCCAGCUGCGUCAGUGUGCGCCUGACCACGCGCGGCGGAAUCGCGGUCUGGACGAGCCCUUUUGAUGAAGUCAGCAGGCGGCUAUGAAACGGGACCCGGGACAAACGCCCUCUAUAGCCUCUCUCGUCUAAUAAAAGUAAUGGGCGAAACACAGUUCCUUUCCUCCGCUGGUUUUCUUGCCAGCGAGGAUCCUACCCGCUCUGGCCGGAUCCGAGCGACGCUCCGGGUCUCUGCAGCCUCUGGGCGCGCUCACACCCGCGUGCACGUGCCGAGCUGCGCUCCGGAGUGGAAAACCGGGAAAGCAAAGCGAGUAAUGGAGAGGCUGAGGACGGUCUGGGCGUCGGGGGGCGGGGG